GGGACGGCGGCACCGGAGCCCCGCCGGGAGGGCGCAGCCGCCGGCCGUGUGCGCCUCGGGGCUGCGCGCCCCGCGUCUCGCCGCUCCCGCAGCUACGCUACAGCAGCUCUGAACUCGCAGGUCCGGCUUCUCUCAAACAAUACCGAGGUUUUCAUCUCGCUCUACAUAACCUAUGGGACGUAAAUGCUUUUAAUUUAGGAUAGUGUCAUUUUUGCUUAUUUCACCAUUGAGGUAAGAAUAGAAAAUAACCGUGAACAUUUUUAUACUCAAUAUACCUGCUCUGGAUUAGGAGUUUCAGCAUAAGCCUGUUGCUUCAGCUCAUAUCUCUUAAGCCAAAUAUAUAGGCUCCCAAUGAAGGACUUGGUUUUAUUUAAGCAGCCUCACAUAUCCCUCACGUAGUGGUUUCAUGCAGCUCUGCAGCCCCGUUAGGGGUGAUAUGACUGAAGUCAAUGGUCCAACAGACGCCUCUCUCAGUGGUGAUGUGAGCUUUGUGUGAUCCCAUCCUUGUCCUGCAUCUUUUCCCAGACACUCGUUCACUUUUUUCUGGUUCAAACCAUUGUGAGGCAAUACUGAGGCAGAACAUGGAAUUAAUGUGGAUUCAAAAAAAACCAAACCAAGAAACAAACAAACCACAAAAAAAAACCAAAACAAAACCAAAACCAAACAAACAAAACCCACCAAAACAUUUCAGGCUGCUCAAAAGCUGGAGUGGUGGAGGGGCAGGAUAGGAGUUGCUGAAGUUAUAUGGUGCUGCAGUCUAGAAUGGAUUUUAAUAAAUUUCCCACAACUUCAUUAGGACUAAGCUCUUUAUGGUGCUAAAAUGGAUAAACAUUUGGGGCACAGGACAGACACUCUUUGCCUUAUGUACGCUGUCAACACACUCCACCUCUUCCAAAAAGCAGCUGGAAUAUACAAGUCCCGUCCCUAAUGCCCAGAAGUGAGCCUAAAACCUUUCAUUCUCUAUGGCCUAGCCAGGGUGCCUCCAGUCAAGUAAACAUUAGCUACAAGAAACUUCAGUAACACUAUCAAAGAAGCAGAAAGCUCACCAAAAUACCCUUCAAAUAAAACCAGGCUUGUUAGCAGCCGUCAUGAAGCAGACAGAGGAUGCAUGAUCUUUCAUUGACUACAUGGGGAAUUUCCAGAAGCAGGAAGGGUAGUUGUGAUGUAAUACAAAGCCCUGGCAAGCUAUAUUUAGGAAUAAUAUGUGCAGUUCUAUUCCACCAAUUUAAAUUUAUCUUUCUACCAAAAAAAAAGUGUGGACAUGGUUAUGAGAAGGAUCAGAGGACUUAAGAUUCUAUCAUUUGAGGAGAGUUUUGCUUAGUCUAACAAAAUUCAGCUGGUAGUGAAUAAGUUUGAUGUUUUUAAUUAUAAGGACACAUAAUUCCUUCCACAUCAAUGAGGAAGAAAAAAAAGAAUAGACAUAAAUUGCUUAUACUGAGAUUGAAAACUGCCCACUAUACUGAAAACCACUUUGGUCAGGAAGAGCAAGAUGGAAUUCCUUAGAAGGAAUGAUAAAUGACAUGAACUUAAUAGUCAACCAUGUUUGACACUUGUGUUCAAAUUCACUGCAAGAUAAUUGAGCAAAUGUCUUGACAGUGGCCUAAUAGUCUCAUAAUUAGAGAAGUUAAACUGCACAGCUUUUACCAUAACAGUGGUGUGAUUACCCUAGAAGUGGAUCUGGAGAGAAGAUGCAAAAGAAAGGCGUGUGAGUGCCCAGGAAAUCCCCAUCGAUGAAAACCGACCUUAGAUUUCAGGGCCAAGUGUCCAACUACUACAGAAUGCACAAGUAGUAGAGCAGCUCCUAAUCAUACAACUGAGAAACAAGGGGGAGGGUAAAGUAUUUAAUACAAGCUGCUUCAAACCAAGAAAGAAAAAGAAGAAACUUUCCAGCUUUAACACAUGGUACUGAUCUACAUGCUGCUUACCAUGACACACUACAGACAGUCUAGGUUCUUAACAGAAACAGACCAUAUGAAGGAAAAUUAGCAUAAAAUCAAAGAUUCAAGAUGUACCAAUUCCUUCCUAAGAAGAAACAAUCCAGUGACUUACAGUUUAAGAGAAAGGUGUCCAAAGCCCCCCCCAAGGAAUUUCUCCUUCCUUCUUUAUUCAAGUGCCACAUUAUCAUUAAACAAAUGGUUCCACAAUCAGAAUCAUAGGAUCAUUUAUGUUGGAAAAGACCUUUAGGAUUGAGUCCUACCAUUAACCCUAAUUCCAUCACUGAAACAUGUCCCUAAAUGACACAACUACACAUAUGCCCAGCUUUCCUGUGAUCAGCAUCUUUUGUUUAAAGAGUGUGAGUUCUGUUUUGAUUACAUCUAUGCUGCCUCUAUGAUCUGCACCAAGAAAUAACACCAUCCCUGAGCGAGCCAGCCUUCAGUUUGUCUCCUUUGUCUUGUAGGGUGCAAAUCCUGAAGCUGCAGAAAAGCAUCCUCACUUCUGCACCAGGACUUCUCCCCAAGAAGGCCUCCUGUUUCACUCUACAUUGGUGUCAAAUAAACCAGUGUAUGUUGCAUGGA